rnacentral:rRNA from 1 species
CAUGUAGGCGGAUAUGGAAGUCAGAUGUGAAAUCCCUUGGCUCAACCAAGGACGUGCAUCUGAAACCACAUAUCUUGAGUAUGACAGAGGGAAGUGGAAUUCCCAGUGUAGAGGUGAAAUUCAUAGAUAUUGGGAAGAACACCGGUGGCGAAGGCGGCUUUCUGGGUCAUCACUGACGCUGAGAUGCGAAAGCGUGGGGAGCAAACA